UGGCGAACGGGUGAGUAACGCGUGAGGAACCUGCCUCAAAGAGGGGGACAACAGUUGGAAACGACUGCUAAUACCGCAUAAGCCCACGGGUCGGCAUCGACCAGAGGGAAAAGGAGCAAUCCGCUUUGAGAUGGCCUCGCGUCCGAUUAGCUAGUUGGUAGGGUAAAGGCCUACCAAGGCGACGAUGCGUAGCCGACCUGAGAGGUUGAACGGCCACAUUGGGACUGAGACACGGCCCAGACUCCUACGGGAGGCAGCAUG
rnacentral:rRNA from 1 species